GAAUUGAAAAUUGUUUUUCGAUUUAUUUCACUUGGUUGAUUGGGGUUAUGAAUAGAUAAAUUGUGUUAUUUAUCUUUUUACUUCUCAUUCGAAUUAAUUUAUGUGGAUUUAAUGGACUUUUGUUUCAUUUGUAAAGCGCCCCUACUGUCUGCCUUACUGGAUGUCACUUUCGGGCAAGAUACAACAUCGUCUAUAGCACCAUCGAUAACGCCUGUGGCAGCUUCAUCAGCGACACCAGGUGCAUCAUCAUCAGCCUCGUACUCAGCAUCAGCCUCGUCUUCAACGAACAAAACACAUUCACCGGUCGAGCUUAGAUAUACAUAUGUUAUAUUGGCUAUAUUUUUUAACCAUUGUUUAUGACAAUAUGCAAUUAAGACAGUUCCGAUUUUAUUUCUUUUUAUUUAUGUAGCAUCUACGCCGAUAGCACCAUCACCAACAACGACGUUCAAGUCGUACGAUUGCUACAAUGGCAAUUGUAAUGGCAACGGCACAUGUGUACCCCCUUCUACAUGCCAAGUAACCAAUAGCAGUUUUGGAUGUUAACGCAAGGUAUUUAAUGAAACUGAAUUCGAAUACGGAUGCAGGGAAUGCAAAAUUGCGGAAAACAAGGACGAUGACUGGUGUUGUUUUGACAAAAAGGACUGUAAACCUGACAAAACGUCUGGGGGAGAUGCUACUAUGCUGACCUCGUUCAUGGCAACCAUUGUUACUUUGGCAACAUGCAUGGCGACAUGUAUCAGAUGGAAUUAUAUCUAGUUUGUAUAAGAAAUGAUAUACAUGAAAACAUUGUGUGGCGUAUUAUACAAAUGUGCAUUAGUAGUUCGAUAUAGAAUGCCUUUGUAUUAAGAAAAAAGAAAACCGUUUAUGUUGCAUUUUAUCACAUUUUUACCUUAGCAAAUUUCGCAAAAUUUUAAUAAUGCAUACCAUUAUUAAGUGAUCAAAUAAUAAUGGCAAUAAUGCAAACAGAACAAAACCAUGUUUAAAAGAUGAUUGUUUUGAUUUUGUCCUCAAUGCAAAUAGGACAUGUCGAAAACGAUCUACUAUGUGAGCUACAGCCCGCUGUGAGCUAUUGGAACUUAAGCACAACUUAAUCCCAUGAAACGCUCUUGAAAGUGGGUGGAUUAAUAAGCCUUAGAGAUUCGACACGUACGAUCUUUAAUAAUUAGAUUAAAGGUUACGAAAUGCAAUAUUAAAAGUGAGUUUUAACGCAGUGUUAUGUAUCGUAGUACACAUGUGUGCAGAUAGUUCUUAGUGUCGUGAAAGCAACCGUGGGGCGCCGCUGAU